AAUUCAAGUUUACAUGGAAAGACAACUCUCACUCUCACUAGUUUAGUUGCAAGAACACGACACACACAAAAAAAAAAUGAAGAAACAGCUGCUGGUUUCUGCUCUUUGUUUUUUAGUUUUGUUUAAUUUGGAAAUAACUGAAAGUGCUCCCGUGGAAGGCGAGAAUCAGAUAAAAAGUGCUAGUGAUGCUAAGUCUGCAUUUGGAGUACCAUUUGAUGAGAUCGUAGUUGAUACGCAACUUUAUGUCAAAAGAAAGAGUGCUGAUAGACAAUCAAGAAAUAAAAAUGAUGUUAGAUCUUCUGCUAGACCCGUAGAAGCAGCAUUGGUUCGAGUAAAGCCUGAGUAAAAAGACACGUAGGACAAUAGAAAUUAAUUUUAGUAUCAUGUGAUGUUUUAUUUUUAUACUUUUUAAUCUUUGUGCCUUAUAUUUGUUAUUUGUUUUAAUAAUAACAGCAAAAUGUAUCAAAUAUGUAAAUAAACAACAAUCGAAAACUUA